CUGACUCUUACUGAAUACCUCAUUAACCUCCCAGUAUUGUAUGGGAACUUCAGAGGCCUGAGGUGUAGUAGUGGGUAAUGUAAUGAUGCCCACUCUUUUGGUAAUGUGCAACAUACAUCUCUCAGUACAGUCCUUGCCCCACUCCAAUAUUUCCCCUCUUGCCCAGUCAAUAUGAGGGUUGUGCUUAAUAAGCCAAGGAAAGCCUAAU